UACGUAGGCAGCAAGCGUUGUUCGGAGUUACUGGGCGUAAAGAGUGUGUAGGCGGUUUGCCAAGUCUAGUGUGAAAUCUCCCGGCUUAACUGGGAGGGUGCGCCGGAUACUGGCAAGCUAGAGUGCGGGAGAGGGAAGCGGAAUUCCUGGUGUAGCGGUGAAAUGCGUAGAUAUCAGGAGGAACACCGGUGGUGUAGACGGCUUCCUGGACCGCCACUGACGCUGAGACACGAAAGCGUGGGUAGCAAACAGG
rnacentral:rRNA from 1 species